GGCUUUGAAACCAGGACGCCAGUUUUGGCGGAGCCAUCCUUGGGAUACCACCCUUGUAGUACUGGGACUCUAACCAUAGGCCAUGAAUCUGGUCUUGGGACACUGUCAGGUGGGCAGUUUGACUGGGGCGGUCGCCUCCCAAAAGGUAACGGAGGCGCUCAAAGGUUCUCUCAGUACGGUCGGAAAUCGUACGUAGAGUGUAAAGGCAAAAGAGAGCUUGAUUGCAAGACAUACAGGUCGAGCAAGGAUGAAAAUCGGACUUAGUGAUCCGGUGGUUCUGCGUGGAAGGGCCAUCGCUCAACGGAUAAAAGCUACCCUGGGGAUAACAGGCUUAUCUCCCCCAAGAGUCCACAUCGACGGGGAGGUUUGGCACCUCGAUGUCGGCUCAUCACAUCCUGGGGCUGUAGUAGGUCCCAAGGGUUGGGCUGUUCGCCCAUUAAAGUGGUACGCGAGCUGGGUUCAGAACGUCGUGAGACAGUUCGGUCCCUAUCCGUCGCAGGCGUAGGAAAUUUGAGAAGACCUGUCCUUAGUACGAGAGGACCGGGAUGGACGUACCUCUGGUGUACCAGUUGUUCUGCCAAGGGCAUGGCUGGGUAGCUAUGUACGGAAUGGAUAAGCGCUGAAAGCAUCUAAGCGCGAAGCCAACU
rnacentral:rRNA from 1 species